GAGAACCGUCCGGCAGUCGCCCCUGAAAGGGGAGGAAAGUCCGGACUCCUGCAUGCGAAACGCCGCGGGAAACCGCGGAGCGCCUUCGGGCGAAUGGAAAGCGCCGCAGAAAACAAACCGCCGGGCGACCGGUAAGGGUGAAAAGGUGGUGUAAGAGACCACCGCCGGCCGCGGCAACGCGCCGGGCAGGGCAAGCCCCGUUUGGAGCAAGAUCACAUAGGGAACGCGGAGGGCGACCUCCGGGAGCGCAUGCCUCCCUCGCGUUCCGGGUAGAUCGCGUUAGUUGAAUGACUGCCCGCGCCUUGAAAAAGGCGUGACAGAAUCUGGCUUACGGGCGGUUCUCCUUU
rnacentral:RNase_P_RNA from 1 species